rnacentral:ribozyme from 1 species
UGCCCAGCAACUCAUAUCCCCACCUCCUCGUGGUACUGGCAGGGGUACGAGCAACCUUAGGGAAGAUCGAGUAACUAACCCUGGUGGGAACUUGGAACGUAUGCUGAUAGAAAAGG